rnacentral:rRNA from 1 species
UACGUAGGGCGCAAGCGUUUAUCCGGAAUUAUUGGGCGUAAAGAGCUCGUAGGCGGCUUGUCGCGUCGAAUGUGAAAACCCGAGGCUCAACUUCGGGCUUGCAUUCGAUACGGGCAGGCUAGAGUUCGGUAGGGGAGACUGGAAUUCCUGGUGUAGCGGUGAAAUGCGCAGAUAUCAGGAGGAACACCGAUGGCGAAGGCAGCUCGCUGGGACGGUACUGACGCUGAGGCGCGAAAGCGUGGGGAGCAAACAGG